GACCGCAACCCUUUAUCCCUAGUUGCCAUCAGGUAAAGCUGGGAACUCUGGGGAGACUGCCGGUAGAUAAACCGGAGGAAGGCGGGGAUGACGUCAAGUCCUCAUGGCCCUUACAUCCCGGGCUACACACGUGCUACAAUGGCAGGUACAGAGGGCUGCGAAGCCGCGAGGUGGAGCGAAUCCCAGAAAACCUGUCUCAGUCCGGAUUGAAGUCUGCAACUCGACUUCAUGAAGGCGGAAUCGCUAGUAACCGCGAAUCAGCAGGUCGUGGUGAAUACGUUCCCGGGCCGUU
rnacentral:rRNA from 1 species